AGGUAAAAUCGUUGAACCUAGUUCUUUUUUUCCUGUGUCCUAAAACGAAGUCGCCUGGUGUUUAAUGAAAGAAAAAAAGUGACAUUUUCAGUGAUUUCGAAAAAAAGCCGAUCACACAGCCACACAGCUAUCCACUUGGGCCGGAAAAGAGAGAGUGAGAACCCAAGAUCGGGAUCUGGACUUGCAACCUGAGUGCGCAGUGCGCACUUUCAUUUUCAGCUACCCGCCGCAUAAUUAAUUGCGACCGAAAGUGGACGACGGUUUUUCGUGGCGGCAGAAAGUAAAAAAGCACCCCGAUACCCAAUCGAAGGAACAUCGAACCUGUACAUCGACCACCAAACCGGAUCAAAACGGCUGGCUUUUCAUACCCGGAGCAACUUUCUUCUUGCGGCUUCUGACACACUAAACUGACGCAACGCAGCGUGUGGCAAGUGUCUGCGGAGUGAUUCCCCGAUCCCCAUUCCUGCCCCAAAACAGUUGAACUUGCAACGCCCACGAAAAAAUUCAUGGAGGCAUGGAAUGCCCCGGCAUUACAACGAAAAUGAAGCAAGUUUUUAGCGCGGAGUGUGGGCUAUGACAAAGGGGUUCCCCAUGGGGCACAUGUCAAUUUCCCACGACACAGAUGCCUGGAAUACCCUUUUGCUAGGGUAUCACUUUCAAACCGAACACCUAAGAAAGAGUCGACCUUCUAUUAUCUAAGGUGUAACUACGCUCCAAGGAGUGUGGCAGAUGCCGAACCUAAACAAAAACGCAAAACAUGGCCCAAAGCAGAAAAGCGAAGCCAACAGAAAAUCCGAUCGACAGUGCAACGGCUGACAGAACCAGUUUAAUGGCACUUGAAAUUUCACCAAAAAAUCUGUGAAUCUCCAGGCCUAGGCAAGGAGGGGCAGGGACACGGGGGCUGUCCGGGGGCGUGGCAUGUUGAUUUGCUUAAAAAGAAAUUCACUUUCCUUCGACGGUUUUACUCUUUCAAAUUUCGUGUGCGAAUGCUUGCUAGUCGUUUCUGGAUUUUGCUUCGAUUCGACUGGAGACGAGUAUCUCUCUGCACGGAAGAUAAUUUUCUUAAUUUAGUAAUGAUAGUAACAAUAUUAUGCCCUCCGUAA